GGUUGUGGCUCAGUGGUAGAGCACUUGCUUAGCAUGUGCGAGGCACUGGGUUCAAUUCUCAGCACCA
rnacentral:tRNA from 1 species